rnacentral:rRNA from 1 species
GACAGAGGUGGCGAGCGUUGUUCGGAUUUAUUGGGCGUAAAGCGAACGCAGGUGGUUUGGUAAGUCAGGGGUGAAAGUCCGCAGCUUAACUGCGGCACUGCCUCUGAUACUGCCUUUCUUGAGUGCAUGAGGGGGAAGCGGAAUUCCGAGUGUAGAGGUGAAAUUCGUAGAUAUUCGGAGGAACACCGGUGGCGAAGGCGGCUUCCUGGCAUGUAACUGACACUCAUGUUCGAAAGCGUGGGUAGCAAACAGG